rnacentral:tRNA from 1 species
GCUCGCUUGGUGAAAUUAUGGUAAACACGAUGGAUUUAAAAUUCAUUUCAUAUAGUUAAGAUUAUCGGUUCGAGUCCGAUAGCGAGUA